UACAGAGGUCCCAAGCGUUGUUCGGAUUCAUUGGGCGUAAAGGGUGCGUAGGUGGCGCCGUAAGUCAGGUGUGAAAUCUCGGGGCUCAACCCCGAAACUGCACUUGAUACUGCGGUGCUCGAGUACUGGAGAGGAGAUUGGAAUUUACGGUGUAGCAGUGAAAUGCGUAGAUAUCGUAAGGAAGACCAGUGGCGAAGGCGAAUCUCUGGACAGUUACUGACACUGAGGCACGAAGGCCAGGGGAGCAAACAGG
rnacentral:rRNA from 1 species